GUCUAUAGCCAUGCCACUCUGAACAAACCUGAUCCCGUCUGAUCUCGGAAGCUAAGCAGGAUCGGGCCUGGUUAGUUGCUGGAUGGGAAACCACCUAGGAAGACCAGGUGCUAUAAGCA
rnacentral:rRNA from 1 species